ACUGCUCAGUAACACGUGGAUAACCUGCCCUUAGGUCUGGCAUAACCCCGGGAAACUGGGGAUAAUUCCGGAUAGAUUAUAGAUGCUGGAAUGCCCUGUAAUCCAAAGCUUUUGUGCCUAAGGAUGGGUCUGCGGUCUAUCAGGUUGUAGUGGGUGUAAUGUACCUACUAGCCUACGACGGAUACGGGUUGUGGGAGCAAGAGCCCGGAGAUGGAUUCUGAGACAUGAAUCCAGGCCCUACGGGGCGCAGCAGGCGCGAAAACUUUACAAUGCGGGAAACCGCGAUAAGGGGACACCGAGUGCCAGCAUCCUAUGUUGGCUGUCCAUAUGUAUAAAUCACAUGUGUUAGCAAGGGCCGGGCAAGACCGGUGCCAGCAGCCGCGGUAAUACGAU
rnacentral:rRNA from 1 species